UCAGUGGCAGAGGACAUGUGCGAAUGUUACGACCACAAAAUUGGGACCGAUUAUUCUGGACUCUUCAGGGCUAUGUCACAUGUUAAUUAUAAUGUUCGAAUAGCUGCUGCUGACGCACUAGCUGCUUUAUUAGAUGAGUACCCAGAUACAUUAGAGGAAUCUUUAGCAACUUUAUUCUCUCUUUAUCGUGAUGGUGGUAUUGGUGAGGGAAACAUAGAUUCUGGUUGGAUGGAUGGGCAGACAAGGGACUGCAUUGGCUUUACAUGCUACCGCUAAUAUACUUAGAACCAAAUACCUUCCAGCUGUCAUGACAUUCUUAAUAUCCCGAGCGCUGGUAAAAUAUUUGUUUUUGAAGGAUUAGGGACUGUUUGGUUUGUGGGUAUGGGCUUAAUAGUACAGAAAGUUGUAUUACUAUUGAAAUGGUACAACUUUUGUAAAUUAUUUUUUCGCAAGAAAGGCAACUAGAGUUGUGCCAGUUUUUCAGUUUUCAUUGCUACCCAACCCGCUAAAUCCACCCGUUUUGGUAGUUUUAUUAUUAAAUCAAGCAAAUGUAUGGCCACUUGUAGGUCGUAGUUUUCAUAUAGCUUGAUCAAAUAUCAUUAAGUAGCUUUGACUAGAUGCUUAUUUAUAUUCAACUGACAUGAUUUUACUUUGCUGUUUUUGGCGUAUUGGUGUAUUGGUGGCGUAUUGGUGUAUUUGGCGAGCUAAGUAAUAACCUGAUCAUACAAAAGCCAACUGCUCUUCAACGGUAGAAUACAACAACAAGAGAGAAUGCGGUUGAGGAAGAGAACUUGAUAUUGAAAGAGAGAUUGUUUUUGAUGGAAAGGGAGUUUGACGAUUUGCGAAUGCGGUUGCAGUAUCUUGAAAGACAGAGCCGAGGCGGGGAAAGGCUUAACGAGGAGGUCGUGGAGAAUCAUUCUGAAAACGAAAGCGAGAGCAGGGGAUACAGUCGAUGGAUGGAGGAUAAUAUCGAGGUUAUGGAAGAAAACCAUGAACAAUCAGAGGACAAUAACAAUAAUAAUAGAUUCUUUGGUUGACCAUUAAUAUAAUGUGUUCUAUGUCAAACUUUCAUAAUUACAUUAGGACAAAUAUUAAUAGUAUAAAAUAUGAACCAAAUAAUUCCAGUUUUCAUAUUGGCUCUUUGCAGGUCUCAAAGCCUAUAAAUCAAGUGCUAUCAACUCUGGUUGAUCAAGAAUCUGGCCACCAAAUUGAGCAUGAUAAUUUAAAUCUUUAUGGUACUUAUAUUGUUGAAGAAUUCGAGGUUAGAAUUUUGGAACCAGAGAGUUCUGGUGGGCCAUGGCAAACAAAAGGAACUAUUCACAUACAAACUUCUGAGAAUGCGUUAACUGUCAGUGGUUACAUUAUCUAAUACAACAAAAAGAGAGAAUGAAACUCUGUUGGCAAUUGGGACUGCCUAUGUGCAAGGGGAAGAUGUAGCUGCAAGAGGACGUGUUCUUUUGUUCUCAGUUGAAAAUAGCACUGAGAAUUCACCGGCAAAGGUCACCGAGGUCUACUCAAAGGAAAUGAAAGGUGCCAUAUCAGCAUUAGCUUCUAUUCAAGGUUAUCUAUUAGUUGCUUCAGACCCAAAAGUUAUCCUACACAAGUGGACCGGUGCUGAGUUGAACGAUGUUGCUUUUUUCUAUGCCCCACCACUUUAUGUAGUCAACUUAAAUAUUUUGGAAAGCAAACGGAUCACAGUUGACUUUACUUGCUAAGGAUUUUGGCGUUCCUGGACUGCUUUGCAACAGAGUUUCUGAUUGACGGGAGCACUCUUAGCCUGAUGGUUUCCGAUGACCAAAAGAAUGUGCAGCGUUGGAAAGCUGGAAAGCACAGAAACUACUUUCACUGGUCGAGUUUCAUGUGGGGGCACAUGUGACUAAAUUUCUCCGGUUACAGAUGCUUCCAGCUUCUUCUGCUGGUUCUGAUAAAACAAACCAUUUCGCCCUUGUGUUUGGAACCCUAGAUGGCAGCAUUGGGUUUAGAGAGAAUGGGGUACAAUUCUUAAGUUGCAUUGGAUAAGAAGGCCACGUUCUACGGAAGAGGUAAUGGAAUUAGAUGGACUAAUGGCAGUUCUUGCUAAUAUUAGUGUUGGAACUGGACUUGAUAAGUGGGAGAAGGCAGAAUGACAUGGUAUUUAAUAGGAGACAAGUUACGCUAUCAAGUCUGAUGGAGGAGAUUAAAGUUCUUAGCUACUUGUCUAUUCAAAAUCGUAUGGGCUUACGUGGGAAUUAUGGUUCAGCUUUAAUAUAGAUUGUAUGGGUGUAUUAUUGUAGUCUAGAUAUAGCUGGCGGUUAUGUAAUGGGCUAACUGUUAGUUGUGUAAUGCUUUUGGCUUAAUUUAGUCACAUUAGUUAGUAGUAUACGUUCUAUUAAUAUCUGAUCAUGUUACCUUUUGCAGUGGCCUUUGGCGAUAAUGUGAUAUUGGUUUACAAAAAAAUUAGCCAUUUUAACUUUUAAACCUAUUAAUUGAAUUUUAACGCAGUUGAACAAGUGGUAUUGGUUUGGUUACUGAUGAAUAUUGAAU